GCUGCGUGCGACAUCGGUGCGAAGGGAGUGAGUUACCCACCCACACAGCACCAAGGUCUGUCCUUUGCAGAGACACAAGGGAGGGAGGCAGGUGCAGAGCAGCCACAGCUCUCCAGAGGGGAGAAAAGGCAGCAGCAAACCCAAACAGCACAUCAGUCAGCACUUGGCUCCCAUCACAUCUGGCAGCUCUCUGGCAUGCAGACCAGCAAUGUCAUCUGAGCCAAGCUUGAAAGAUAGCUGCUUCUGCCAUGCCUGCCUCCUCCCAGCAGAGCAUGUCCUACCCACUGGGAAGUCGUACACAGAAGAGGAGCUGAGGCUUGUACCAGCCUUCACCCUUGGAAAGUCACCUCCCCUAUGAACUCACCAUUCCUCCUCUGUGAACUCACCAAGGCUCAGAAGAGGCAGCAAGGCCCUUGUGUGCCCUCUAUCACUGCAGGAUGAACU